rfam:Triticum aestivum genome assembly, contig: Triticum_aestivum_CS42_TGACv1_scaffold_112939_2AS
CGCCCUCUCCCUCCGUUCCGAAUUACUUGUGGAAGGUAUGGAUGUAUCUAGAUGUAUUUUAGUUCUAGAUACAUCCAUUUCUUUGACGAGUAAUUUGGAACGAAGGGAGUAGUUU